ACCCUGCCUUAAGAGGCCAGAUUCGGUCACAGCCUCCUGCCAGGCCCACUGGUGAAGGCCUCCUGUGAGGGACCCAUGGGCUGAAGGCUAUGAGACUCUUGACCUUUGUCCUUCCAUGCCUCUGUACUGGUGACCUGGUGGCAGUGCCCUCCAAGCAAAGCUGGACAAAAUCCCUUGCCCAGGGUAGGGUUGAACCAUCCUGGGCGGGAAGAUCGCCAAGGACUCUAGAGUGCUAAGGAAGACACAGUGUGACGUAGGGACUUGAAUUUUUUUCUCGGGGGUCAGCUAGCACUUGGCUUGCCGGAGGAACAGGUCAGAAGCCUACACUCCGGGUAUGGAAGUCUUUGCUUAUUUACAGAAGCACCCAGCGGUCUUACAAACUCGGGUCCUUUUGCACAGUGGCUUAUGUUCUAUGUGUGACCUGAGCGGACGAAAAGACUUAGCUGGCGUUUCUUCCCCAAAGGAGCUUCUGCAAAUCCAGCACUCCCUGGGUCCUGCAGAAAACCAGCUGCGCUGCGCCCGCAGAGACCCUGUCUCACACUCCAGGCCUCGCGGUGGGUACACUGCUGGGUAACCUCCAGCGCGCUAGUCACCGAACCCCCUGGGCUCCCAUUUCUGCGUCUGUGAUCGAAGAUAAGGCCGGUCUCGCCAGGCGGUGGCGGGGAGCCCACAGCUCUCAGAUAUCAAAUUUCUGCCGCAGCGCCGCGCCAGGUCAGAACCAGGGUCCCAACCUCUCCAGGACCCUGCGGCUGGCGGGCUCCCGUGGGAGAGGGCGCCUGCUUCCCGGACCAGCUCUCUUUGGGGAGGGAGGGGGAGCCGCGCAGCUCAAGCGCCGGCCUCCGGUGACCGCCCGCCCGCCCCGAGGCCUGGCUCCCCGCCUCCCUUUCCCUUCCCCCACCCGCGUCCCAGCUCUGGGUUUCGUCUCGGCCUCGGGAGCCUCCGGGUCCCACCGCGCGCCGCUCCGGGCCAAGCCACGGGGCUCUGGCGCCUUGAGCAUCGGAGCAGGUCCUGCCCUCGCCCCGGGCGGGGGCACCUAAGAGCUGCCCCUCCGCCCCUUGCUUCGGGCCAGCGGUGGACACUCGGCCGUGGGGGCAGCUGCCGGGUCCGCCCCGCCCCGCCCUCGCCCCGGCGCGCAGAGCCGCUGCCAGGAACUGGAAUAUUAAUAGCCGCCGAGGGAGGACGGCUCAGGAAGGCCCCACCAGCCGCCGCGUUCCUCGGACGCUGCGGGGUCAGGCAGGCCCUGCCCACGUCUUGCAGAGUCAGGUCCCGGAGCCCACGCAGCACGCCCACGGCCCCCAUACAGCAGCCGCAGCGCCCAGACCCUGAUUUCACCGCUCCUGGCAGGAGCACCUGUCCCGGAUUGGUUGGGAGUGUUCCUCCCACCUGAAAGUCAUCCUUCAUUGAAACUUGUACUGAAGCCGGGUGUGGUGGCAAGCUCGUAAUCCCGGCACUCUGGAGGCGGAAGUGAGAGGAUUGCCCAAGGCUAAGGUCAGCCUGGUAGUGAGCCCUUGACUCAAACACAAAUUAUUGCUACAAUGCAAGCACAAAAACCCUUUCUUUCCCAGAACCUGAGGGAAAACAAAAAAAAAGGAGAUUUGAAACAUGCAACAGCCACAGACGGCCAUGAGAGCUCCCGGACGCCUCUGUUCUGUGUGUGUGUGUAGAGAAUUGGGAAAGAGCAAGCCAGCCUCGCAGGCCCAUUGACUGAGGGGAAGACUGACUGGCCUUGCUGGUUCCACCAGUGGUGUCGGAGUCAGGAUGACAGUUUUGGGCUAGGUGUGAUGCACCCAUCCGACACGCAAGGGUAGGGCUGAGCAAAUACUGACCAGACAGGUCUCCGAGCAGAGAUGGGAGACAGGAGUGAGCAAACACACACCUGCCGGUUCUGCGCUGGCCACUAAGGGAACCACCAGCCAGCCUCCUGUGCUGUGGAGCCCGUGAUGUUACAGUACUCAUCUUAGACGGAGGGUCUCACUGUGUAGGCUGGCCUGGAACUGUUACCAGGAUGGCUUCGAAUGCAAGGAUCAGCCUGCCUCUGUCUCUCCAGUGUCGGGAUCCCAACCUGGACUACAUUUUUUUUUCCAGACAGGGUUUCUCUGUGUAGCCUUGGCUGUCCUGGACUUUGUAGAUCAGGCUGACCUCGAAAUCACAGAGAUCCGCCUGCCCCAGCCUCCCUGAGCGCUGGGAUUACGGGCAUGCGCCAUCACGUUUAGCCCGGCUGGGCUAAACUUUUAUUUUAAUUUAAACUUUUACUUUAAUUAAUUUAAAUUGAAGAACAGUUAUUGAUUCAAUUAUUUGAAAAUCUCUAUUAUGUCUGGAACAACUAGGCCAGAGACAUCUGCUUUUUCAAUGGCAGAAUUCAUGGGAUCUGAAUACGGACUGAGAAGAUUUUCCCAUCCAGCUGCACACUAAUUUUUAAUUAUUAUUGGGGCUGGAGAGAUGGCUCCAGUCCCUGGUUAGGAGGGAGCACAGCUCUUGCAGAGGACUAAUCUGCUGUCCAUGUCUGCAUUGGGUGGUUUACAGUCACCUCCAAGUCCAGCUCUGGGGAAUCAGAUGCACUUUUCUCUUUGUGUAUAUGGUGUCUUGCCUGUGUGUGUGUGUGUGUGUAUGUGUGUGUGUGUGUGUGUGUGUCCACCAUGUGCUUGCCUGGUGCCCAGGGAAGAUAAAAGAGGGCAUCAGAUCCUCUUUGUCAGCCACUCCGAAGUCUUCAAAACUCUUCCUGUUCUCCUUAUUUGUUUGUCUAUUUUGUCUUGAGGCAGAGUUUUUCUAUGUAGACCAGGCUGGCCUCGAACUCACAGAGAUCCUCCUGCCUCUCUGGCUCCUGAGUGCCGGAAUUAAAGGCCAGCAGCAGUAGGCCUACCUAAUUGUGCUUCUUUUGUUGUUGAUUUUUUGUUUGUUUUUUAUUUUUCAAGAUAGGGUUUCUCUGUGUAGCCCUGGCUGUCCUGGAACUCACUCUGUAGACCAGGCUGGCCUCGAACUCACAGAGCUCCACCUGCCUCUGCCUCUGGAGUGCUGGAUCAAAGGUGUGUACCACCACCACUGCCUGGCUUAUUUAUGCUCCUUAAGACUGCAGGUGAAAGCUGGGUGUGUCAGGGUAUGUCCGUUGUGUGUUUUCCAGGGCCAGCCACAGAACUGUCAGAAGAGGGUUCUGGUUCAGCCACGGUUCCUGAAUAUCUCAAGUGCUUAAGUGUUCACAAGAAUUCUGGUGUGUGUAUGUGUUCCAGGUUUUCAUGUAAAAUGAGACACAGAGCCAUAAGGAACAGGAGCUGCUGGGUGUGGAGGGGACCAGCUCUCAAAAGAGGCCUCUCUCACUACCCAUCAUUAGUGUCAGCCAUCCCCAACACCCCCAAGGACAGGGCUCUUGUGUAUCUUUGCUUUCCCAUUAACUCUAACAGAGUCCAAGCCCUGACACCAAGCAGUGGCCCUUCCUCAGUCCAGAGAUGCCCUGAAGUGAGGUGGAGAGGCCAGACACCUGCUGUGCCCCCAAGUCCUAAGGUUACCAUUGCCUCCCAGCUGCCCUGACAGAGGAGCCAGGAACCGGGCUCUGUCUGUCUCGAAGAGUCUGCACUGCUCUGGACCCCUUGUUUACGGACUCAGGACGUGACCAGCAGCGCUGCUCAGGUACCCCUAGCCCUCUGGGUGGCACCACACCUCGCUGUUGCUGUUUUGUUCCCCACUGUUCCUUUUUUCGCCCCAUGCUCCCCCUGUCUCUGCUCUGUCCCUUUUGGUGGCUUCUAGGGAGUUCAUUGAGCAGAGAAGGGUGGGGCAUCCUUUGGGAGGAGUCCUACAGAGAGGUUCAGGGCAGCAGAGACCUGGGUGAGACUGGACCAAGAUGGAGCUGUGCCAGGCCAGGACUGGGUAGAGCUGCAUUUUCCAGGUAUGAGGGAAACAUUUGCUGUCCUCUGGAGACAAGGAAUGGAUGGAGGAAAGAGGCAACUAGGAAGGUGUUCUAUUGUCCUUAGACCCUUCAUCAUCCAAUUUCCAUGCCCAGGUAAGAACCGACCUGUCUCUAAUCUGGCAUUUACCAGGCUGAAUAGUCACUGCUUGCCCAGUGAGUACACCCAGGCGCUUCCUCCUUCCAAAGCCCUGACCUCUGGCUAAGGAACUAGCAUUGGCCUGUCAGCCACAACCAGAAAUGACCUAUGUCACUUCUGGAUCAGCAACCUAAGUGCUCUGUGUCCUGUCUGUCCCACGGCAGAGUGAUUGUACUUGUCCUCAAGUUGUCUCUUCUAGGAGUCUGGCUCCCUGAGACUCUGGGUAGGUAGGGCCGAGCCUUGCUCUCCACACUCCAUCCCCCCAAAAUGGCCACAGAACGUGGUUGAAUGAUGAACGUUGCUGAAUGCAGUCCCUGUGAUCUGGGGCUGACUUCCGGCCUUAGAACCUGGCUGGAAGGGACUGGCAAACCCCUCAGCAGCAACCCCCAUCCCCACCACUCAUGGGGUGAGUAGAGAUCAUGACUGAAGGUGGAAUGGGCUGGGACAAGGUUCACCGCCUCUGGGCCUGCUGCCCAGAGCUGAGCUGCCCGGGAGCAGCCUACAGAAGGAGGACAAUGACAGACAGGAGUGGGCAGAGAGAAGGCAGGGACAGCAGUGGCUCCUCCCAGAGCCAGCCCUGGCUCAGGAAGAAGAGAGGCCAGAGAGCAGGUUGGGCCUCAAGGCUGGAACAGUUUCCUUAUUGUGUUGACCUGCCAGGCCACGUGACUCCUUCACUUAAUAACCCAUAAUAAAGCUGGGUGCAGUUGUGAACCCCUUUAAUUCCAGCACUGGGGAGGAUCGCUGUAUGUCUGAGGCCAGCCUGAGCUUCCAAGAGAGUGUCAAAACAAACACAAAUAAAAAUACUACACACAGCGGGGCGUGGUGGCACAUCUCAGCACUCAGGGAGGCAGAAGCAGGCGGAUCUCUGUGAGUUCGAGGCCAGCCUGGACUACAAAGUGAGUCCUAGGACAGCCAGGGCUACACAGAGAAACCCUGUCUCAAAAAAACAAGAAAAAAAUUUACAACAACCAUACAAAUACGUGUACAAAUACAAAACCACACAUGCAAACACAUACACAAAUACCAACUUUUAGCACACACAUACAUAAAACUCACCAACACAAGUACAUGCAAGCACAAGCAUACACACAAAGGCACACAUUACACACUAAGGUGAGGAUAGCCUUUUUAGGUGGACCCCUUCAUCUUAGCUCUACUGCCCUUGCUCCCCAGAACUCGGUCCAUUGCCUGGUUUGUUGUAAAGAAGGAGGUCUGUGCGAGUUUUCCUAGCUGAAAUGCCUUUCAGACUUCACCUGAGCCUUGGUCCUGCCCUGACGUGGACUCCUAAGACAGUUUCUCUCCUCCUAUGUCCCUUGCCUCUCUGAGGUGCAAACAAGGGACUGUCCCUUCCCCAGAUGCCAUGUCUCACACAGGGUGAUCAUCUGACAAAUGAAGGCUGAAGUCUCACUGAGGGAUAGGAAGAGGGAUGUAUCCUAGAGGAGGAGGGGAGAUGCUAAAGGCAGUUCUAAGAUGUGUGUGUGUGUGUGUGUGUGUCUGUGGGUUGGCCUGGAACUUGCUAUAUAGACCAGAUUUGCCUCAAACUCACAGAGAUGCACUUGCCUCUGCCUCUCUAAUGCUAAAAUGAAAGCCAUGUGCCACCAUGUCUAGCUAAGACAUGUUUUCUUUUGUUUUUUGUUUUGUUUUGUGAGACAGGCUCUCCCUGUGUAGCCCUGGCUGACCUGGAACUCACUCUGUAGAUCAGGCUGUCCUCAAACUCAGAGAUCCACUGGCCUCUUUCUACCAAGUGUUGGGAUUAAAGGUGUGUAUGCCCACUGCCCACAGAAGACAUGGGUUUUGAACUGAGGUUUCCUUGGAGUGGGGACGCUUUGCUACAGAGAUUUUGUUGUAGGCAUAGGGGAAAAUGCACCCGCUCCAUGCUAAGGAUGCAGUAAUGACACUGCUUGGGGUCCUGCUUUUCUUCCUCUCCCUGUCCCAGCUCCCUUCAGUCCCUGCCUCUGCCUCUAGCUAAGGGCAAGGCCAGGCUGCACCAGGCGCUGGGCUCAGACACCACACCUUCAUCACCCCGAGAGGCAGGUAUGAUGGUGUCAUUCGUAGCCAAGUAACUGUGGCGCAGAGACCUGAGACCUUCUCAACAAGGGGUAGUACACACUCGACUGGGGCCUGGCGUUCAUGCUGCCCUUCCUGCUCCACAGGACCUGGGGGCCUUGCCUGGGCCUCUCAGCCUGGGACAGACUUGGGGCUGAUCCUUUUCCAGUCUCACUUUUCUUUCCCCAUGCACGUUGUGGUAAUAGAGAUAUCCUUGGUCACCGGCCAACUGGACUCUCCACGUUGCCAUUGGUAAUGGAAGCCAGGACAGUACUGAGCUUUGAGUGGCUAAAUAGCUUUACCCCGUGGGCUCUGUCUGUAUGCUGGCCCUAAAUGUCCCUGCCAAUGUGUCGAAGGACUCAGCAGUGUCACAGUCAGCCACUGGGGCAUCACCCAGGCUUGAUGGUUUACCGACAGCCUAAUUUCUGUGUUAAAACAGAGGCCCAGUCAACAGAGCAGCCACAUUUGGUUGCAGCUCCUCAGAGAGCAGGAACCCGCCUUUGCCGGGAGACCAUCAUUCCCAGCUCCGUCACCCAUGACAUUCCAUUAACCCGUGGGGUCUCAGGAGAGGCAGGGUGACUGGUGAUUCUGCUGCUGACUGAACUGUAGCUCCUCAGGUUCCACAUGACCAAGGUCACAUGACUGAUGCCAGGGGAGCUGGCAUUGGGACCCAGGGCUUCGUGACCCCAAAGUCCACAUUUCCUUCCUGCCAUCUUUCUAGAAGCAAUGGGGGGGGGAGUUGGGGGGCUUCCCAUGAAAUCUGGCAAAGCAGGGCCUGAGGGUUCCCGGGAACUGACUCUAAGAGCUUUGCUGCCCUCAUGGGCCUGGGCCUCCCGAGCUCCUGGCUGAGUAGUCCUCUUAAUGGUGUCUCUCUGGGAUUGUGACUGUCUGUCUCCUGGCAGUUCUGCGUAUUGUCGCUUGCUGAUACCUGGCUGCUUCAGGCUCUGACCUCUGGUGGCUCAAGGAAUCGCUUAGUGGGUAAGAGUUUUUGCCCCACAAGCCAGGUGUCUGCAACCCUAGCACUGAGUGUGUGUGUGUGUGGUUGUAUGUACUUGUGUGUACAUGUAUGUAUGCUGUGCCCAAGUGUGUGUGCAUGUUUGCAAAUAUGUUCCUGUGUUUGUGUGCUUGCAUGUGUGUUUCUGUGUGCCUAUGUGUGCAUGUGUGUGUGAGCUCAUGUGUGUAUGUGUGUAUAUGUACAGGUUUGUGCGUGCAUAUGCUUGUGGAGUGUGUGUGUGUGUGCAGAGACAGGAGGUUUGCUGGAGCUCGCUGGCCAGGCACUCCCUGCUUCACCCUCUCUCCUACAGUACUCUAUGAACAGGACUCACUAAGGCUGUUCCAGAUGCACACUGCCCCUCAGUACCCUUCAGGGUAUAAGAACAGGGCUGCAUAGGGGAAUUAGCUCAAAGGUAGAGUGACAGCCGAGCAUGUAUGGGGCCUUGGGUUCCAACGCUAGAGUUCAAAAAUGAAACAAAAACUUCAACUGAGGGAAAAGUGUACAUUCCGGACUCCUGGAAAAAGCUGGUUUCUGUAAGAAUCUGAGCCAAAAGCAGAUUGGAGAAGAGACAGGACACAUUUCUUAAGGACCUACCGCGCUGACUAACUAAUCCAGGCACUGCAUGUUUGUGUGUGAGGGCACAUGAACGGGUGUGGCACGCUUAAUCCUUAUUGUUGGUUUAAUUAGAUUAGGAAUCAGCUAGAUAUGCCCUGGGCAGGUCUAGGAGGCCCUUCUAGGAAGGAUUAAGCAGAGGGAGAAGGCUCUCCCUCCCCUCGGUGGGGGUUGCCGCCCAGACUGAAGAACCGAGGGACCUUUUCUUUCUUUCUUUCUUUCUUUCUUUCUUUCUUUCUUUCUUUCUCUUUCUUCUUUCUUUCUUUCUUCCUUUCUUCCUUCCUUCCUUCCUUUCUUUCUUUCCUUUCUUUUCCUUCCCUUUCCUUUCCUUUCUUUCUAAUUUUUGCUUUAGGAGACAGGGUUUCUCUGUGUAGCCUUGGCUAUCCUGGAACUCACCAGGCCCAGGCUGGCCUCAAACUCAGAGAUCUAGCUGCCUCUGCCUCCAGGGAGUGCUGGAAUUAAAGGAGUGUGCGACCAGCAACACCACCACUGCCUGGCCUGAGGGAGCUCUCAGAGUCACCUAAAGGAAUGCCUUAACGGAGGAAUUAAUGUGUUCAUGUGGCAUGUCUAUGGGGGGGUUGUCUUGUUUCAUUGGUGGUUUUUUUGUUUUGUUUGUUUGUUUGUUUGUAUUCUCCCCCACUUCUCACCCCUGGGCAGGAUUUCUGUGCAUCCCUGGCUGUCCUGGAAUUUGUUCUGUAGAGCAGGCUGGCCUUGAACUCAUAGAUCCACCUCCCUCUGCCUCCUGGGAGGGCUGGGAUUAAAGUUGUGUGCCACUACUGCCUGGCACUGAUUGUUAAUUGAUGUAAGAGAGCCCCCCCCCAUUUUGGGAGGCACCAUUCAUUCCCAGGGCAACUGGUCUUGAACUGUUAAGUUGUUUCCACGUGUGUGUGUGUGUGUAUGAAUAUGUGGGUGAAGAUGCACAUAUGUGCAAGUGCAUGUGUGUGUGGACAAUAUUAAUGUCUUCCUCAAUUAUUCCUCCGUCUUUUUUUUUAAUGCAGCAUGGUCCUGCCAUGUAGCCCUGAGUAUGCUGGUAUCGGCUAUGUAGACCAGGCUAGCCUCACUCACAGAAAUCACCAGCCUGCCUCUGCCUCCCAAGUGCUGGAAGAAAGGCAUAUGCCGUCACUCCUGGCCACCUUGUUUCUCUCACUGGACCUGGCGCUCACCAGUUGGCUACACUGGUUGGCUAGUAAGCAACAGAGCCAGGUGCUGGGCUCGGAGGUACAUGCCACGGCACCCAGCUUUUAAUGUGGGAGCUGGGGAUCUGAACUCAGACCCCAAGCUUGCUUGUGCAGCAUGGCUGAGCCCUCUCCGCAACCCCCAUGUCUAUUCUGUGCAAUUUUCACAGCAGUCCUGUGAGGGGGGGCUGUUGUCGCCCCCAGCUUUGAGGACUCUGAGGUUCACAGCUAUCAGGGCUCAUAGCUGCCAUUCAGCAAUGGCAGGAAGCAUGGUUUCCCUCCACACUUUCCUGUUUCUGAAAGUGGGCUGUGGGCUAGGGAGAUGGCUCAGUGGGCAAAAGUGCUUUCUGCACAAGUGUGAGGACCUGAGUUCGAAUCCCCAGAACUCACAUAAAAGCCAGGCAUACAAAAUGAGCUGUGCUAGUGCUAGCACUCCCCCAGCAUGAUGGGAGACAGAGACGGUGAAACCUCAGAGGCUCACAACUGGCCUGGCGCACAGAGCAGAGAACAACUGAGGCCCCAUCCCAAGCAAGGAGGAAGUGAGGACAUACAUCCCAGGGCUGUCCUUUAUGGCUACCUGUGCACUGUGGCAUACACAUUCACACAUGCAUGCAUGAGCACACAGAGGGAGGAGCGGGAGAGAGAGACGAGUUUGGGUACUGUUGGGUUCAGGGUGGAGGCCAAGAAAACUCACUUCAGAUACAGAAGCUUAAAAUGAAAGCUUUACCUUUUGAGCUCAAGGAGGCGGCCAGUUUGGGAUCUGAACUGCAUCCCCGAGGGGAAGCUUGUAUUGCAUAUUUAAAGGGUGAAAACCGAAAGGUGAGGGGGCUUUGGUGGGUGUCAGGGUCAUCCAAUCAAAUUCUAACAUUGUGGGUUAAGCAAGGGAGUUUCUGUUGGAGGCUGGGCCUCAUCCAGGACACUUGGCCUCAAGGCCUUUAACUAUUUUCCAAGACGGUUGGUCUGGAAUCAAGGUCCUUAAUUUAUCCUCCUAGACAUUUCUUCCUGAGCUCAAGGUGAUCGAUCAGGGAACAAAGAAGUAGAUUAUCUGUCUGUAUUGAGGGCUUUGCAGCCAGUAUACUUUUAUGAUUUAGGCACCUAAGUUAAAAUAAAAGCAAGUUUCACAAAAAAA